GGGUUGUGAGGUUAAGCGACUAAGCGUACACGGUGGAUGCCCUGGCAGUCAGAGGCGAUGAAGGACGUGCUAAUCUGCGAUAAGCGUCGGUAAGGUGAUAUGAACCGUUAUAACCGGCGAUUUCCGAAUGGGGAAACCCAGUGUGAUUCGUCACACUAUCAUUAACUGAAUCCAUAGGUUAAUGAGGCGAACCGGGGGAACUGAAACAUCUAAGUACCCCGAGGAAAAGAAAUCAACCGAGAUUCCCCCAGUAGCGGCGAGCGAACGGGGAGCAGCCCAGAGCCUGAAUCAGUGUGUGUGUUAGUGGAAGCGUCUGGAAAGGCGUGCGAUACAGGGUGACAGCCCCGUACACAAAAAUGCACAUGCUGUGAGCUCGAUGAGUAGGGCGGGACACGUGGUAUCCUGUCUGAAUAUGGGGGGACCAUCCUCCAAGGCUAAAUACUCCUGACUGACCGAUAGUGAACCAGUACCGUGAGGGAAAGGCGAAAAGAACCCCGGCGAGGGGAGUGAAAAAGAACCUGAAACCGUGUACGUACAAGCAGUGGGAGCACAGAGCAAUCUGUGUGACUGCGUACCUUUUGUAUAAUGGGUCAGCGACUUAUAUUCUGUAGCAAGGUUAACCGAAUAGGGGAGCCGAAGGGAAACCGAGUCUUAACUGGGCGUUAAGUUGCAGGGUAUAGACCCGAAACCCGGUGAUCUAGCCAUGGGCAGGUUGAAGGUUGGGUAACACUAACUGGAGGACCGAACCGACUAAUGUUGAAAAAUUAGCGGAUGACUUGUGGCUGGGGGUGAAAGGCCAAUCAAACCGGGAGAUAGCUGGUUCUCCCCGAAAGCUAUUUAGGUAGCGCCUCGUGAAUUCAUCUCCGGGGGUAGAGCACUGUUUCGGCAAGGGGGUCAUCCCGACUUACCAACCCGAUGCAAACUGCGAAUACCGGAGAAUGUUAUCACGGGAGACACACGGCGGGUGCUAACGUCCGUCGUGAAGAGGGAAACAACCCAGACCGCCAGCUAAGGUCCCAAAGUCAUGGUUAAGUGGGAAACGAUGUGGGAAGGCCCAGACAGCCAGGAUGUUGGCUUAGAAGCAGCCAUCAUUUAAAGAAAGCGUAAUAGCUCACUGGUCGAGUCGGCCUGCGCGGAAGAUGUAACGGGGCUAAACCAUGCACCGAAGCUGCGGCAGCGACACUUAUGUGUUGUUGGGUAGGGGAGCGUUCUGUAAGCCUGUGAAGGUGUACUGUGAGGUAUGCUGGAGGUAUCAGAAGUGCGAAUGCUGACAUAAGUAACGAUAAAGCGGGUGAAAAGCCCGCUCGCCGGAAGACCAAGGGUUCCUGUCCAACGUUAAUCGGGGCAGGGUGAGUCGACCCCUAAGGCGAGGCCGAAAGGCGUAGUCGAUGGGAAACAGGUUAAUAUUCCUGUACUUGGUGUUACUGCGAAGGGGGGACGGAGAAGGCUAUGUUGGCCGGGCGACGGUUGUCCCGGUUUAAGCGUGUAGGCUGGUUUUCCAGGCAAAUCCGGAAAAUCAAGGCUGAGGCGUGAUGACGAGGCACUACGGUGCUGAAGCAACAAAUGCCCUGCUUCCAGGAAAAGCCUCUAAGCAUCAGGUAACAUCAAAUCGUACCCCAAACCGACACAGGUGGUCAGGUAGAGAAUACCAAGGCGCUUGAGAGAACUCGGGUGAAGGAACUAGGCAAAAUGGUGCCGUAACUUCGGGAGAAGGCACGCUGAUAUGUAGGUGAAGUCCCUCGCGGAUGGAGCUGAAAUCAGUCGAAGAUACCAGCUGGCUGCAACUGUUUAUUAAAAACACAGCACUGUGCAAACACGAAAGUGGACGUAUACGGUGUGACGCCUGCCCGGUGCCGGAAGGUUAAUUGAUGGGGUUAGCGCAAGCGAAGCUCUUGAUCGAAGCCCCGGUAAACGGCGGCCGUAACUAUAACGGUCCUAAGGUAGCGAAAUUCCUUGUCGGGUAAGUUCCGACCUGCACGAAUGGCGUAAUGAUGGCCAGGCUGUCUCCACCCGAGACUCAGUGAAAUUGAACUCGCUGUGAAGAUGCAGUGUACCCGCGGCAAGACGGAAAGACCCCGUGAACCUUUACUAUAGCUUGACACUGAACAUUGAGCCUUGAUGUGUAGGAUAGGUGGGAGGCUUUGAAGUGUGGACGCCAGUCUGCAUGGAGCCGACCUUGAAAUACCACCCUUUAAUGUUUGAUGUUCUAACGUUGACCCGUAAUCCGGGUUGCGGACAGUGUCUGGUGGGUAGUUUGACUGGGGCGGUCUCCUCCUAAAGAGUAACGGAGGAGCACGAAGGUUGGCUAAUCCUGGUCGGACAUCAGGAGGUUAGUGCAAUGGCAUAAGCCAGCUUGACUGCGAGCGUGACGGCGCGAGCAGGUGCGAAAGCAGGUCAUAGUGAUCCGGUGGUUCUGAAUGGAAGGGCCAUCGCUCAACGGAUAAAAGGUACUCCGGGGAUAACAGGCUGAUACCGCCCAAGAGUUCAUAUCGACGGCGGUGUUUGGCACCUCGAUGUCGGCUCAUCACAUCCUGGGGCUGAAGUAGGUCCCAAGGGUAUGGCUGUUCGCCAUUUAAAGUGGUACGCGAGCUGGGUUUAGAACGUCGUGAGACAGUUCGGUCCCUAUCUGCCGUGGGCGCUGGAGAACUGAGGGGGGCUGCUCCUAGUACGAGAGGACCGGAGUGGACGCAUCACUGGUGUUCGGGUUGUCAUGCCAAUGGCACUGCCCGGUAGCUAAAUGCGGAAGAGAUAAGUGCUGAAAGCAUCUAAGCACGAAACUUGCCCCGAGAUGAGUUCUCCCUGACUCCUUGAGAGUCCUGAAGGAACGUUGAAGACGACGACGUUGAUAGGCCGGGUGUGUAAGCGCAGCGAUGCGUUGAGCUAACCGGUACUAAUGAACCGUGAGGCUUAACCUUACAACGCCGAAGGUGUUU
rnacentral:rRNA from 1 species